rnacentral:misc_RNA from 1 species
GACGUUAGGGUUUCGGAAAUCACGAAAGGACGGAGGAGCAAGCAGAGGGUCAGAAUCAGCUGGCGCCGCCACCAUCGGCCGCGAUAGAAGGUGGUGACUGUCGGCGAGUGAUGACAUAGCGCUCCGAUGAUGGGAAAAGGAUUUGGUCCCGUUGCUGUUAUUAGAAGGGUCGUCGAGGACGAGGCUCUCCAUUUCUUCACGGGAAGCGUCGAUAUGGGCUUCUUCAAAGCCCUGGUUCUCCGAUCCCAUCAUAUUUGUUCCGAUUGAUCUAAAAAUUUACAAAAAUAAAAAUAAAUUAUAGUACAGCUGCUAAACUGUGAUCAAUAGUCGAAGCUGGACAUUAGGGUUCUGACAGAGAGUGAAGUAGGGACUAGGUAAGAUGGGAGCGUGGGUUAACGUGCGCCGGGGGGAGCUAGGUGGAAGAAGACUAUCGUGAAGCAUGAGGUGCACGCGGCAGUUACGAAAGGAUUUGGGUUUUCCUUCUGGGUUCUCGAGCCUUUUGUUGGAGUGGGGAG